rnacentral:rRNA from 1 species
GAUGAACGCUGGCGGCGUGCCUAAUACAUGCGAGUCGAGCGAACAGACGAGGAGCUUGCUCCUCUGACGUUAGCGGCGGACGGGUGAGUAACACGUGGAUAACCUACCUAUAAGACUGGGAUAACUUCGGGAAACCGGAGCUAAUACCGGAUAAUAUAUUGAACCGCAUGGUUCAAUAGUGAAAGACGGUUUUGCUGUCACUUAUAGAUGGAUCCGCGCCGCAUUAGCUAGUUGGUAAGGUAACGGCUUACCAAGGCGACGAUGCGUAGCCGACCUGAGAGGGGGGCGGGACACACGGGACGGGAGACAGGGUCCGGACUCCAGCGGGGGGCAGAAGAGGGGAAUCUUCGGAAGGGGGGAAAGGCCGGAGGAAACAGCCCGGGGUGAGGAAGGAAGUUUUUGGGAUCGAAAAACUUUGUUAUGGGGGAAAAAAAAAGGUGAAAGAAAAAAUGCCCGUCUGAAGGUAACAUAAUAAGAAAGCCACGGCAAACUACGUG